rnacentral:misc_RNA from 1 species
AAGUAAAUUUAUUUCUGUCGCGAUAGAUUGAACACGAGAGUUGGAAAGGUUAAAAUUCCCAUGAAUUUAACAAAUGUAUUCCACAUGCGGAUUUAGUCAGUUCACUGUUAGCACAUGGAAUAAAAAUUAACGGCAAGAGCUUUUUCCUUACAGUAGUAAUUUUAGAGUAUUUUCACAUUUGAAGACUAGCUAGGGUAGGUGGCAUCAUGGCACGCUUAAAGCGGUAAAUGAUUUUGUUUAUAUUCCGAAUGAUCGAUUAGAUGGAUAACUAGAUGCAUUCCAAGGAUUUUAACUUGUAAUUCCAACAUGCUAAAGCGGAUUGAUUAUUCUGUAAUUAAAGUAUCCGGAGAAGAUGAAAACUUUCCUGCGGCAGAGUUAAAUAAUCAACGUCCAUCAGCGAAAGGCUGGAUGUCUCCUAAAUUUUGCCCAUAUCCUCAAGUUUUAAUUAUUCGUCUUGAAACAAAGGCCAGGCUGUGUAAAUUCCAAGUAUUAUCUCAUCAGUUUUCAAUAUCUUCAAAGCUGGAGCUGUAUAUUGGGGAUGUAAAAAAAGGACUUCCUGAGUUGUUUCAGAAUGUUUCGUGGGAGAAACAAGGGGACAUUUACUUCUCAGAAAAUGCUUUUACGGAAUACAAAGCUAGAGAGCUCAGGACUGCUUACAUUGACAUCAUUGGAAAAUUUGUGAAACUAGUUUUGCAUCAGAAUCAUAUCAACAAAUUGAAUUUAUGUAAUCAGGUUGGAAUUGUAGCAAUCAAUAUUAUAGGAGAAACUAUUUUAGAUGGAGGCUCUAUCAAAGCCAAAUAUUUAUCUGAUGAUCAUCUCUUGAAUUUGAGAACAAAAAAGUCAGAACUUGAGGAACUCUCAUUCACAAUGUACAUUGAUCUCGAAGUGCAACAACUAAUCAAAACUCUUGAUAAAAAGAAGCAGAAAGCUGUAUUAGAUGACAGAUUUGUUUAUGCUAAAAAGUUGAAAUAUGCUAUAAAUCAGUUAAUGAAAGUUGGCGAAAAAUUGGGCAAACUGGAUAUUCUGAAAGAGAAAGCUGUAGAAGAGGAAGACUAUGAUCAAGCUCAUAUAAAAAAUGAAGAAAUGGAAAAACUUAGACUUCAGACUUAUGAAAGAAUGAAUAUAACCACUUUAAUGGAAAUAGAUGGGCAAGUUCUUGAAGAAAAUGAUCGGGAUUUCAUUGGAAAAGGUAGUGCAAAACCACCUGAUGAAAUCUUGGCUCCCAUGGUUGGAAAUUAUGUCAGUGUUGAAGAAAAACCAGUACAAGCUUUGAAAAAAGCCAAGACUCAGCCUUCAGUAUUUCCUGGAACUGAUGCUGAAACUCUUGGUGAUUCACCAUUAGGAAAACUGACUGAAAAAGAAAGAAGAGAAGCAUCAUUACCCAUUGAAGUGUUUGGAAUAGAGCUGGUAGAAAAAAUGUAUUCUAAAGCAUUUAAACAGCGAGAAGAAUCUAUGAAAAACAUAUCUGCUUAUUUAGAAAAAUAUCAGAAGAAAGGGAAAUCUCACGCACCGAAUGAAGUUAUCCGAGCAGUAUCAAUUCUCAUUCAAAGAGCAUUUUUUGAUAAUGUGCAUUCUAUUUAUGCAGCAGCACUGAAUAUCCUUACUGAGUGUUUUAAGCAUUUCAUACCACAGAAUCAAGUAUCUAAAUCAGAAACAAAUUUUCUUGUUGAUAAAUGUAUUCCUGAAAUUAUGAACAAGUUAGGAGAUACUGCAUCUAGACUGAAGAAUGCGUCAAUGGAAUAUUUAAUAGAAAAUGUUCGUUAUUUGGAAGAGAACUCACAAUUCAUUCAGCAGUAUGCAGUGACUCCUAUACAGAAUGUCCUUAAUGUUCGCCUUGCUCAAGGACGUUGUGAGCUCAUAGAAAAAAUUGUCAAAAAAUAUCCACCUUGGAAUUUUAAUAUUUUGCCGCUUUCAAGAGUGAUGCCAUUUUUGUUAGAUGCUCUGCAUCACCCAUCAUCUUCAGUUAGAUCAAUAGCUGAAAGAAUUAUUUUGUAUCUGUAUGACCACGAAGUCAUAAAAGUGAAGAAAUAUUUUUCAUUUGAUUCUGAUACUCUCAAGAAAAAUAUAAUGUACAGAAGAUUACAGCAAGCCUUUGAUAAAAAAAAAAGAAACUCAAAGGAGAAAAACGGUAUGGUGCAGAUGAAUAAUUCAAAUCAAAAGACUUUAGAAGAAUUAUCGUUAAUGAAGAAUCUAUAAAAACAUAUAUUACUUUUGAUGUGAGUUACCCAAUAGGUAAAUGGUGGCAACACCUAUCUAGAUGGAUUCAGAAAUACAUUUCUGGCCUGACAUGCUUCAGAAGAUUAUAAACUUGUACACCACUAGGACUUGUAUAUUUUGUGAAGAAAGAAGUGAUAGAUUUACAGCUUCUGGAUUGGAUGAGCAUUAUGAUAAAGAAUGUCCAAUGCUUAUUCGCUGUUCAAAUUGCAAGCAAAUUCUUGAAAUUGCUACAUUAACUGAA